UUAGCAUAUAUUAUAUUAUUAUGCUAAUGGUGGAUUAUAUUCUGCUGCUUAUCUUAUUUAUGUUCUUGUUGAGUCACUUGGGUUUCCACUGGGGAAUUCUCGAGUGAUGAUUAUUAUUGUUGUUAUUGUUAGGUGAACUCCUCGUCUUAGAUUGUUUGGGGCUGGGAUGGCGAGGGGUUGUAUUUGUUAGUUGGGGUCCUGGCUCACUGAGUGACAUUAGGUUACUCAUUAAACUCACCUAUUGUUGCAGGAAACCUUAGUGGGAGACCGGGUAGCAUGGAAGCUGGAUGUUAGGAGCACCGCAAGUACUUUUGCCUUUCCUAUUGUAAAACGGUACUACUUAAAUUCUUUGAAUCGAUAUUGGCACUAGGCCUGGAUCCAUCUGUAAUAUUUUACUUGUAACGAAUCUUUACUAUAUUUAAUAAAAGUGAUGUUUUAUAUUCGUUACAAUGGUUCUCUGAUAAAUAGACUUGUCUGGUCUAAACACAACGUUAGGUUUAGGUACGGGUUGAAAAGCCUUAGGCCGCGAUCUAACGGAACCGUUAACUCAUAGUACGGGUUGCAAAGCCUUAAGCCAUGAUUUAGCGGGACGUGUUAGGGGAUGAACUGGUCGAUGUUGCGGACGUGUUAGAGUACGGGUUGCAAAGCCUUAAGCCAUGAUUUAGCGGGACGUGUUAGGGGAUGAACUGGUCGAUGUUGCGGAUUAAGUUCUGUGACUUUGACUGGAUUGUCCCUAGCCCGUCAUGUAGCGCUUCCGGACCAUGCUGUUGGGUUGGACGGUCAGUCAUGUUCUUGUUUGAUUGUUGGCUGGCCGAUUGGCCUUUCAUCUCCAACCCUUGGUGUGGGUCGUCCGUCGGUCAUGUUCUUAUUUGAUUGUUGGCCGAUGGCUCGACCUAUGCCUAGGACGGUUCGGGGGUGUUACAGAGGUGGUAUCAGAGCAUGGUUUCGUCCAUGCUUUCAGAACCUGCGUUUUUAAUCGGUUUUCAAAUAUUUUAUCGAGUCAUAAAAUAUUUGAAAGGCAUUUAGAGUAUUCCGGUCACGUCCAGCCAUUCUGGGUAAGAAAUUUAGGAUUUACCUUUUCGUUGGUUGUAGAUGAAUAAUUGGGGUGCAAGUCAAGGUAGGCAGUGGGGAUGGUCGUCAAAAGAUGGUCGAGCAUUUGGGGAUUCAGAACAAGGGUUUUCUACAAGGGACAGAAUGGAUCACCGAGAUAUGAGUCAACGUUAUGGAAAUCAGUUUUCAAGAAGUCAGGACAUAGUCAAUCACCGUUGCCAGCAAGUUCAUAUUCAAAUGAACAACCAAGACGUAGAGGGAAUCAAGAGGCUGAAAUUCCACUGGGAAUUCUGGUAGAUUUGUUUACUCAAAUGCUAUGCCAAGUUUCAAGGAUUGCACAACCUGAGGAAUCCUUAAACAUGGAGUAUCUGAAGAUCUUGAAGACGAUGAAGGGCUUGGAAACAUAUAAGUUCAUAGGAGGAAUCAACACGUUUGAGGCAGAAGAGUGGAUGCACAUGAUGGAUAUAAACUUUGAAGCCAUGAUCUGUCCACAAAAAUACAAGAAGAGAGUGGCGGUUUACUAUCUACAAGGAGAUGCUCGUAACUGGUGGGAAAGCGUGGAACGUCAACAUGGAAAUCAUAUUACAUCUUGGGAUGUAUUUCAAAAGGAUUUCAGAAGGAAGUACUUCCCACCCGAGGCAAGACAUCGAUUGGAGAGGCAGUUCAUCAAUCUUACCCAAGGGGAUAGAAAAGUACAAGAAUAUAAAGCGGAAUUCACAAGUCUUCGUCGCUAUGUAUUUAACGGCCAAGACAACGAAGCAACAAUGAUCUGAAACUUCAUGUAUGGAUUGCGAUCUGAACUAGGUAGCAGAGUCGCGGUAGGCAACUAUGGAAAUCUCACAGACUUAGUCGAGAGGGCCGUAAAUGUGGAAGUUGCGGUAGGAGCAGAAGCCAAGUAUGAAUCAAAAAGAAAAGGCGUUAGUGGCCCGAAGGGAAAACAUAUAGUUCAGUUCAAGGAUUCCAGUCAGCAAGGCCUAUCUAGGAAAAGAAGCCAUGACUCAAAAUCUUGUGAUGGAAACCAAGGAUGUUUUUAUUGUGGAGAGGUUGGUCACAUUGCUCGACACUGCAUGGCAGAGAAAGUUGCAUUAGCAGAAGAACAUUCCCCACUUGCCCUACUGGAAGACAGACCCCCGAGAAAGAGAAGAAAUAGGAUCUAGAUCUUUAGAAAAACCUUAACCUUCAGACCUACAAGGUAAGUAAGGGUUUUAACUUCCUUGUUUGAGUGUUUAUUUUCCUGAUUGGUUCUGAUGUGUUGGGAAAAUAUUAGUUUUUUUAAUAGACGUUCUGUGCUUUUGCACGAGAACUUGUGGUUUGUGUUCUUGUUUUGUGUAGGAACGUUGUGGCAGGUAAUGACCCCCGAAGACCAAACCCUUGAAGAUUGGUGGCUAUGUUGGGUACAUGUUUGGUUCUGAGGAGAUAUCUAUCGAAAGGACAUGAUAGAUAUGGAAGACUUGAUCAUCACAAGAAAUCAAGUUGAAGAAGUGACUAAGUACGAGUAUGGUAUCAAUCGAGAGGACAAGAUAGUAUUAUACCGAAUGAGUGUUCCAGCAGAGUAGAGGCAGGAGGACGACUCGGUGAUCAUUCCAGUGAAAAGAUAUGAAGACAAUUGAGGAGACCUUGAGGAAGACACUCAAGGAACCGUUGUGGACAGCGUAAAGAUAUAUGGAGACGAGUUGAGAAUGUCGUAACAAUGAGCGAUUGCGCAACUAAGAAUUCGAGGACGAAUUCUAUUAAUGGGGGGGGGGGGGAAAAGAAUUGGAGGAUGAAUUCUAUUGGGGGGGGGGGAGAAUGUGAUAACCCGCCCUUCGGGAUAAGAAUGGUCGAGACAGAAGAUUGGUCGAACACCAACUUGGUGGUCGAAUCGCGGGCGAUAAAGAUCGAUCGGGAAAUUUUGAAGAACGAGGUGGUCGAAGAAUUGAUCGUGAGUUAACUAUUACUCGAAUAAGUUCCUCGACUAUAGUUAGAAGAUGUCUCAGAUUGAUCAGACGGAGGUUUUGGAAGCAUCACAUUUUUCAAGGACGAUGGUUUUAGAAGCUCGACGUUUUUGAAACCCGACGUUUCUUAACCACGAAGUAAUCCGCAAAACUUCAUAUUAGCGGAAUAUUAAUUCAGAGACAUCAUAAUUUGGGAGCAGGACAGAAAUUAAGCAUGACAGGAAGCAAGCACGACGGGGACGAAGCUAGACGGAAAAACCCGAAGUUACCAAAAUCCCUAAUUUAGGUAUUAUAGAAUUCUUCGAGGAAGCCGGAGGCUCGGUAAAUAUUACCGUCAAGGUUAUAAUGGAGUCUGGAGUUUAUUAAAAAUAUUCCGAACGUCAGAACGGGAGCAGGAAAAUAUUUGGGAUUAAUCGUGGGCCAAAAAUAUGCCGGAAGGGUCAAGAUCGCGUAAAUCGACCGAGAAGCUGGAGGCGUCUCAAUGCAUGUCAUCAGGACGUGGUGUCAACCAUAUGAUAAGCUGUCUGUCUACACAAGCACGAGGUGUCGGCACGCAUGGAAGCAGCACAUACGGACUGACACACAGAAGAACGAGAUGUCGCCAUAUCUGCAACCGCAGCAUGCUGAUCGACAUGUGGGCACCGUGUGUUGCCGUGCAUGUGAUCCAGACAUGCUGAUGAACAUCUAGUCGUCCAGGAAGGAUAAGAGGUAUCACUUUGCAUGAGCCCUGGCCAUGCUGAAAGACAUGUGGAGCACGAGGUCCCGCCGCGCAUGCAACCUGAGCCAUGUGAGCCGACACACGGGCUGCCACCGACCUGAAUCUGAUUGGCUGCUGUAUUCUAUAAAUAGGCACGCCCACCUUCACAUUUCAACACAUCCAGACAACUUUAGAUCAGUUUAAAAACGUGAAAGAAAGUAAAGAGAGAAAGCAAGAGGUUUCGAUAGUUUUCAAGAGUUUUCGGGAUCAGUUACUACACAAGUUUUGGAUCGACGCCUAUAGAAGUUUCUGUUUGAGUUGAGAGUUGUUCCAGGGAGGCCAUUCAAGGUUAGGCACGUUAUUGAGGUCAUUUGCGAUAGGAGGCCACUUGAGGUGUUCAAGAAAGGGUUUUGGUCGAGGAUUCGGGCAAGGGUCAAAGCCACAACGAACCAAACACUGUGAGUCACGGAAAUUGAUUGCUGACUUGUUUUCAUGCAGGUUCCUGUUACUUGGAAGUUGGAUCAUGGCAGGAGGCUGGGUCUAACUGAGUAACAGUUUGAUUAGUUAAUAGUCGAGGUUUGGUUGAUUGAGUUGAUAGCAUGCUUAGUUAUUGUUUGGGAAUCGUAGUAGCAUGCUAAUGGUUAGGUUGCUUGGUUAGUUAGCGAAUGCGAACCCUUAGAUAAUAUCGCUAGGUUGUGGUUAGAUAGGUAUUCUGGAAUCUAUCUUUGGUUGAUUGCAUGCUUGGAUGAUUAUUGCUAUUGCGUUAUUGUAUGUUUGCAUGCAGGGAUUGUGAUGAUGUUAUUGGUUAGUACUCUGGAAUUUAGGUCAUAUAGACCGAAUUUCAAGUAUGUAUUAUUAUGGUUGAGUUAGUAGAGGAUCGGGAUCUAGGCCAUAUAGGCUGAGUUCCUAGUUAGUGUUGUACUUAGCGUCCUAGGCCAUAUAGGCUGAGUUCCUAGUUAGUGUUGUACUUAGCGUCCUAGGCCAUAUAGGCCGGAUUGCUAGUACUAAUGUUUAGUAUCGAGCUUUGUCGAUAGCUUGCCUGAUCAGCAAUGCUAGGAUAAUACGCGGCAAGGAAGGUUACGUAAGCAUGUCCCUACGCGGCUUGGCAGAGAGGUUGCAUAAAGCAUGCUCUGUACGGGAAGGUUGCUAGAAAGCAUGCUCCGUCAUGUUGUAUCCUUGGUGGUGCUUCAUGUUAGUUUGCGGCAAGGAAGGUUGCUAGAGUAUGUCCCUACGUGGCUGGGCAGAGAGGUUGCAUAAAGCAUGCUCUGUACGGAGAGGUUGCUAGAAAGCCUGCUCUGUCAUUUGAUACCUUAUCGGGGUUACAUGUCAGUUAUGUUGGAUGUUCUAACCCGUGUGCUUUUGUGGCUGCGAGUUAGGUGUUCCAUGGUUGUGUAUAUGAUGAAAAAGCUCGAGUGAGGAUGUGUAGUGAAGGUGUAGAGAGUCUUAGCAUAUAUUAUAUUAUUAUGCUAAUGGUGGAUUAUAUUCUGCUUCUUAUCUUAUUUAUGUUCUUGUUGAGUCACUCGGGUUUUCACGGGGGAAGUCUCGAGUGAUGAUUAUUAUUGUUGUGUUAUUGUUAGGUGAACUCCUCGUCUUAGAUUGUUUGUGGUUGGGAUGGCGAGGGGUUGUAUUUGUUUGUUGGGGCCCUGGCUCACUGAGUGACAUUAGGUUACUCAUUAAACUCACUUAUUGUUGCAGGAAACCUUAGUGGGAGACCGGGUAGCAUGGAAGCUGGACGUUAGGAGCACCGGAAGUACUUUUGCCUUUCCUUUUGUAAAACGGUACUAGUUAAAGUCUUUGACUCGAUAUUGGCACUAGGCCUGGAUCCAUCUGUAAUAUUUUACUUGUAACGAAUCUUUAUUAUAUUUAAUAAAAGUGAUGUUUUAUAUUCGUUACAAUGGUUCUCUGAUAAAUAAACUUGUCCGGUCUAAACACAACGUUAGGUUUAAGUACGGGUUGAAAAGCCUUAGGCCACGAUCUAACGGAACCGUUAACUCAUAGUACGGGUUGCAAAGCCUUAAGCCAUGAUUUAGCGGGACGUGUUAGUGGAUGAACUAGUCGAUGUUGCGGAUUAAGUUCUGUGACUUUGACUGGAUUGUCCCUAGCCCGUCAUGUAGCGCUUCCGGACCAUGGUGUUG
rnacentral:lncRNA from 1 species